rnacentral:misc_RNA from 1 species
AGUGUUUCACGCUCCAAGUGUUCGGUCUUGGGCGUAAGGGGAGUAUGUUAAGAUCUCAAAUUGGUUUAGGAUAGAGGUAAUGUACCCCUUAUAUGACCUUGGGCACUCCUCCCCUCUUGAGCUAGCUUUUGGGGGUUAGUUAGGCUCAGCCCAUUUUCUUAAGGCCUUGUAUCCUAAGCUACGACAGGAUAGAGAGUUGUAUCAUGGCAUUGUGAGAAACAAGUAUAUGCUUAUUUACUUGAAUAUUGGAAUAGGGUUCAUCAUAUCAUUUUGCAAGAAAAUCUUUGUAAUUCCAAGAUUCAAGGUUGUCUUGUAGAGCUAUUGGUGCUAUGGUGGGUGGUUGAAAUUUUAGAUUUUAACUGCAACUUAAAGCACUAAUUACAAGAAGUUCAAAAUGACCAAAAAAAAAAUUUAUAAAUGUCCAUUUUUCUGCAACACUAAUUGCUUUCGGUUGUACAAGAACACAGGAGUAACUUGGAUUAUUAAUUUGAGCACUUCCUCCCCAUUUCGGCUACAACAAAAAUUUAGUCAUCAGCUAAUGAAUUGCUGGCUGCUAAAUCUAAGAGAAGUAACUUCCUACAUUUCUAUUGUAUUGUCAAAAUGUGAAAUGGUUUGGUUUGAAUCCCAUAAAAAAUGAUACAAAGGAAUGGUUUGUAAUUUUUUAUGGUUUAGUUUAACAUCUAGUUUGUUAAAUGCCUCUUCCUUGCAGGAUUCUCUCCCAUUCUCUCUUUAACAUUACUGGAAUAAGAAGUAUGCAUCUAAACAAAUAUUAGCAUUUCAAAAUCUUUGCAGACUUUUGUUGGUUUGAAAUGGAGAGGUUUUGGUGGCAGGAAACCUCCAAAGUUCCUUGGAAUUGUAUUUUUUUGUUGUCAUUGAGUCUUUGGAUAGAAAAAAAUGCAUGUAUCUUCAAAAGUCAGAGUUUGUCCUUUAAUUUGUUGUGGACAAGGUUGUGUUUUUGGCUUCUAUUUCAUAUGCUUCUGCAGCUACUUUUAUUUUUUAGGGUGGGUGGGGGAGUGGUCUUUGAGUAUCACCCAACUUGAUUGGAUAUUGCUUUUAGGAGUAUCCCUUGUUGUUCACAGUGUAUUUUCCUACAUUAUUUCCUAAUAAAAUUUAUUUGAACUUUCACAUCUAUGAUAACUUCUAAUUGUUUUCUGUUUGAUGCUUGAAGGUAUAUAAAUUAACUGGUUUUCUU